AGCAGCCGCGGUAAUUCCAGCUCCAAUAGCGUAUAUUAAAGUUGUUGUAGUUAAAAAGCUCGUAGUUGAAUUUCGGGAUCAAGGAAUCGGUCAUGCCUUGGUAUGUACUGGUUUUAUUGGUUCUCACCUUCUAAAGAACCAUAAUGUCAUUUAUUUGAUGUUAUGGGGAAUUAGGACUGUUACCUUGAAAAAAUUAGAGUGUUUAAAGCAAGCUUACGCUUGAAUACAUUAGCAUGGAAUAAUGAAAUAGGACAUCAGAUUCUAUUUUGUGGUUUCUAGGAUCGAUGUAAUGAUUAAUAGGGAUAGUUGGGGGCAUUAGUAUUCAAUUGUCAGAGGUGAAAUUCUUGGAUUUAUUGAAGACUAACUACUGCGAAAGCAUUUGCCAAGGAUGUUUUCAUUAAUCAAGAACGAAAGUUAGGGGAUCGGAGACGAUCAGAUACCGUCGUAGUCUUAACCAUAAACUAUGCCGACUAGGGAUCGGAUGAUGUUAAUUUUUUAAUGUACUCAUUCGGC
rnacentral:rRNA from 1 species